rnacentral:rRNA from 1 species
UGAGUACGAGAUGCUACGGCAUCGAAGCAGUCUAUGUCAUACUUCCAAGAAAAGCUUGCACUGUCAUAAACAAAGAAUGCCUGUACCAUAACCGACACAGGUGGGUAGGUAGAGUAUACUAAGGGGCGCGAGAUAACUCUCUCUAAGGAACUCGGCAAAAUGACUCCGUAACUUCGGGAGAAGGAGUGCCUUAUUUCUAAGGUUGCAAUAACAAGAUCCAAGCAACUGUUUACCAAAAACACAGGUCUCCGCUAAGUCGUAAGACGAUGUAUGGGGGCUGACGCCUGCCCAGUGCCAGAAGGUUAAAGAAGUUGGUUAGCAUUAGCGAAGCUGAUAACUGAAGCCCUGGUGAACGGCGGCCGUAACGAUAACGGUCCUAAGGUAGCGAAAUUCCUUGUCGGGUAAGUUCCGACCCGCACGAAAGGCGUAAUGAUUUGGAUACUGUCUCGGAGAGGGGCUCGGUGAAAUAGACUUGUCUGUGAGGAUGCGGACUACCUGCACCUGGACAGAAAGACCCUAUGAAGCUUUACUGUAACUUGAGAUUGAAAUUGGACUUUAUUUGCGCAGUAUAGGUGGGAGGCGUCGAGAAUAAUCUUGCGGGAUUGUUGGAGCCAUCAGUGAGAUACCACUCUUGUAAUGUUAGAUUUCUAACUUUGUAUCAUUAUCUGGUCAAAGAACAGUUUCAGGCGGGCAGUUUGACUGGGGCGGUCGCCUCCCAAAGGGUAACGGAGGCGCACAAAGGUUUCCUCUGAACGGGUAGAAAUCGUAUCUAGAGUGUAAAGGCAUAAGGAAGCUUGACUGUGAGACCUACAAGUCGAGCAGGGACGAAAGUCGGUCUUAGUGAUCUGACGGUGCUGAGUGGAAAGGCCGUCACUCAACGGAUAAAAGUUACUCUAGGAUAACAGGCUGAUCUCCCCCAAGAGUUCACAUCGACGGGGAGGUUUGGCACCUCGAUGUCGGCUCAUCGCAUCCUGGGGCGGUAGUCCGUCCCAAGGGUUGGGCUGUUCGCCCAUGAAAGCGGUACGCGAGCUGGGUUCAGAACGUCGUGAGACAGUUCGGUCCAUAUCCGGUGUAGGCGUUAGAAUAUUGAGAGGAGCCUUCUCUAGUACGAGAGGACCGAGAAGGACAUACCUCUGGUGUACCAGUUAUCGUGCCAACGGUAAACGCUGGGUAGCUAUGUAUGGAGUGGAUACCGCUGAAAGCAUCUAAGUGGGAAGCCCACCUCAAGAUAAGUAUUCUU